GGGUGCAUGCAGAAGUCACCGAUGGGGGGGUGCAGCUCCAGGACCCGGUGGCUGACGUCAGCUGGAAAAGGAAGGGACAGGGCUCAAAUAAGAGGAGGCUGAGUUGCCACAUUCCCACCAGGACUACAGACCCAGAGGAGGAGGCCUUCCCCAGUUGAGACAUUGUGAGCAGAUACAAAGCGCCUGGAAGCAUUUGUGUCUCGCGUGGUUUGGGGGGGACCAGGCUGAGCAAAGUUGCAGGAACUCACGUGACCAGGGGGAGGGCCCCAGCCAAGGCUACCUGUGGUUUCCACAGUGGGGUAGGCUGUUUGAGCCGUCUACACUUCCUGCUCAUUGAUGACUGGAAGGGUUGGCCCAGGGGCCAGGUGGGAGUGGGGCAGGACUGCCACGUGGAGCCUCGCUAGGGCCCAGCCACAGGCCUGUCCGGAGCUUGUGAGGACAGAGGGCUGGGUUCCAGCAGGAGCCAGGUGGGUCCCCAUCAGGGGACUUCCUCUGGCAGAGCGGGGGCAGGGAGCCCUCUUGGAGAGGGAGGUGGGACUGUGGCACGCCUAUCAUGUGCCCAUUCGUGAGUUUGCUGGGCCGGCUUUCUUGGGGUGCGUUCCCGUCUACAUCCACAAUUUUCCAAUCCUUUGAAGGCCAGGACAGACACCCAUCCCUCCAGGCAGCCUGCUGUGACCUCCCACCCAAGAGUCCCUGCUCCUUCCACUGAGGUCACCCAGCCUCACACAGUCCUGGUCCUGGAGCUGUCACUGUCUACCCCGUAACGAGAGCAGAGACUUGGGUCUGUUUUCCUCACCACUGAAUCCUCGGCAUCCAGGACAAUGGUGGGAGCUCAUGAAUAGUUGCAGAGAAACACGAAGGCCGUUCCCUGAUCUCCAGCACUUGCGGCCUCAUCCUAGGGGCGGAACAGGCGGCAACGCUGAGAGCUGAGUGGCUCCUGCCUCGGUACAGGCAGCAGAGGGCUUGGAGCUGAACCAGGAGCACCCCACCCCCACCACACCACGGUAGAGCCCAGCCCUGGGGCUGGACCUCGGCCUCAAUCCCGCCCCCUGCCCCGCACCCCUCCCUCUGUGGGUCUCUCUAGCACGGAGACCCCACGUGGCCUAUCUGUACAGGCCUCGGUCAUUGUCUAUACCAGCUGCCCCUGGACCAGCAUCCACCUGCAGCCUUACCUCAUUAAAAAAAGGCACGAUUGGGGCGCCUGGGUGGCUCAGUCGGUUGAGCGGCCGGCUUCGGCUCAGGUCAUGAUCUCGCAGUCUGUGAGUUCGAGCCCCGCUUCGGGCUCUGUGCUGACAGCUCGGAGCCUGGGUCUGUUUCAGAUUCUGUGUCUCCCUCUCUCUGACCCUCCCCCAUUCAUGAUCUGUCUCUCUCUGUCUCAAAAAUAAAUAAACGUUAAAAAAAAAAUUUAAAAAAUAAAUAAAAAAGGCACGAUCAUCAGAUCCUCCUCACAGCUCCUAAUGAGCCAAUAACCGCAAAGCUCUCAGUGCCAAGCGUCAGAACUCUCAGUGACUAUUAGCAGUAAUCAUUAUUACAUGCCAGGCACUGUCAUGGGUCCUGGAAAUACGGAAAUGAACAAGACAGCAAGAUCUCUGCCAUCGGAGAACUUACACUGUAGUUGGGGAAUAGGAAAUAGGUAGGGUCAUGGAAAAUAACAGUUAAGGCAGAGGGGCUGGGACAUUUGCAGAGUCCUCUUGGAAGGCCUCUGAGAUGACAUAUGAGACCUACAUGAGAGAGGGAAGGAGCUCUGGAAAAAUCUUGCAGGCAGAGUUUACAGCAAGUGCAAAGGGCCUGAGGGAGGCAUGAGCUUAGCAGAAAGAUGCAGGAAGGUCCUUGUGGCUGGAGCACAGCGAAGAGUGAAGGAGGGCGAAGUCUGAGCAUGGUCCCUGGCCUGAGCCUACAGACUCUACGGGGGCCUUUGCUGCCCACCCCAUCCCUGCCAUUUGUGGUUUGGGGAGUCUUUAGCUACAGGGGCCUGGGAAGGGGCAUAGCCCAGCAUCCUGGCCUUAAGCCUUUAGUCUGCACUGCCCUUCAGGGCAACCCAGGGAAAGGUUUCCCUUCAGUCAAAUGGGGGAGUGGGUCACUGUCUCCAAGGACAGAGGAUCUCACUGGCACUGGAUGUGACAAGGUGGCUGGGUCACUUCCAGAGCUGUGGUCUCUCUCACCUCCUGUCAACUCUCCGUGUCCCCCUCCUGUCCCACCCCACAUGCCCCAGGCUGGGGCAGCUGCCCAGUCAUACAAAGCAUAAGAUACUUUUGGGGGUAGAUAGAAGGAAGCACUUGUAGUCGUAGAUUCUUAUUUCCCGUCUCGGAUUUAAAAACUGUAAGGUCACAAAGCUGAAGUGAGGCAUAGAGCAGGGGUUACAGGUGACAGCUGUGCUCAUGUGGGGGCCUUUGGCAAUGGCUGUAGUCUCCCCACUCUCCUCCAGCUCCUUCCCAAAGCCACCAGGGAUGAUCCACGUGGACAAUGGGUGUUAUCUUAACAAAGCCUCCACGUUUGUGAUCUGUGGCACACCACCUUAGCACCCACACACGCUUUCUCUGAACUCCCAGUUUAAGACAAGUGUCCGGGGUCCCCCUAUAAUCCUUCCUAGAAGGAAUCAUGGAGCCAUACCGUUUAAAAACAUUCUGUGGAGUCAGACUGCCUGGAUUUGAAUCCACCUGGUAGCGGGGGAUGUUACUCAACCUCCCUAAGUCUUGCUUCCCACAUCUGUGAAGUGGGGAAGAGGUAAUCCUUAUGAAAAACUUUUUGGGGGCGCCUGGCUGGACUCUUGACCUCAGAGUUGGGAGUUCAAACCCCACGUUGGGUGCGGGGAUUACUUAAGAUCUAAUUUUUUUAGUUUAUUUUGAAAUAAAUAGCUGUGUUGUUAGUGCAGAGCCCGAUUAGGGUCUCAAACCCACAAACUGGGAGAUUACCACCUGAGCUGAAAUCAAGUCGGACACCUAUCCAAGCCACCCAGCUCAAAAAUCUUUUAAGGCAUCUUAGGGGCGCCUGGAUGGCUCAGUCGGUUAAGCGUCAGACUUUGGCUUAGGUCACGAUCUCACGGUGUGUGGAUUCGAGCCCCACUCAUCAGGUUCUGUGCGGACAAGCUUGGGAGCCUGGAGCCUGCUUUGGAUUCUGUGUCCCUCUCUGCCCCUCCCCUGCUCUCACACACACUUUCUCUCUCAAAAACAAACAUUAAAAGAAAAACUUAAAAAAAAAAAAAAAAACA